GAUGAACGCUAGCGGCAGGCUUAACACAUGCAAGUCGAGGGGUAUGCUUCUUCGGAAGCAGAGACCGGCGCACGGGUGCGUAACGCGUAUGCAAUCUACCUUUUACAGAGGGAUAGCCCAGAGAAAUUUGGAUUAAUACCUCAUAGUAUUAUAGAAUGGCAUCAUUUUAUAAUUAAAGUCACAACGGUAAAGAUGAGCAUGCGUCCCAUUAGCUAGUUGGAAGGUAACGGCUUACCAAGGCUACGAUGGGUAGGGGUCC
rnacentral:rRNA from 1 species